rfam:Penicillium chrysogenum Wisconsin 54-1255 complete genome, contig Pc00c13
GCCUUCGUGGUCUAGUUGGUUAUGACGUCGGUCUCAUAUUCUUUAUUAUGACAUUCUUGGUAACAAGAUUGACAUCCGAAGGUCUCCAGUUCGAACCUGGACGAGGGCA